rnacentral:rRNA from 1 species
UGGGGAAUAUUGCACAAUGGGCGCAAGCCUGAUGCAGCCAUGCGGGGGGUUGGAGGAAGGCCUCCGGGUGGUAAGGCACUUUAAGGGGGGGGAAAGGCGAUAAGGUUAAUAACUUUGUCGAUGGAGGUUACCGGCAGAAGAAGCACCGGCUAACCCGGGGCCAGCAGCCGCGGUAAUACGGAGGGUGCAAGCGUUAAUCGGAAUUACUGGGCGUAAAGCGCACGCAGGCGGUUGAUUGAGUCAGAUGUGAAAUCCCCGGGCUUAACCCGGGAAUUGCAUCUGAUACUGGUCAGCUAGAGUCUUGUAGAGGGGGGUAGAAUUCCAUGUGUAGCGGUGAAAUGCGUAGAGAUGUGGAGGAAUACCGGUGGCGAAGGCGGCCCCCUGGACAAAGACUGACGCUCAGGUGCGAAAGCGUGGGGAGCAAACAGG